rnacentral:lncRNA from 10 species
GGGAUUACAGGCGUGAGCCACCGCGCCCGGCCGAUUGUGAGUCUUUUAUAAAGCUCUGGAGAUAAGAAGGCCAAAAUGAGUCCUAUGGAGUAUUUGCACAGCCAGUUUCUUCUGGAAGCUUCAAGAGAGAGUCUGUUCCUUGCCUUUUCCAGCUUCUAGAGGCAGCCGACACUCCUUGGCUCAUGGCCACAUAACUCUGACCUGUGUCUAUUGUCACAUCACUGACUCUUCUGACCUCCUACCAGGACCCUUGUGAUUACAUUGGGCCUGCUUGGAUAACCCAGGAUAGCUUCUCCAUCUUAAGGUUGUUAAUCACAUCUGCAGAAUGCCUGUUGCCAUAUAAGUUAACAUAUUCACAGGUUCUAGGAAGAAGGACAUGGACAUCUUCCAGGAAGCAUUAUUCUGUCUACCACAGCAGUUCUUUCAACUGUAUGUUUCCCAGACCAUUCAUCCUUCCCUGCACAAAGUCAAGUUCAUCAACGUUCUUACUGAAAUGUGAUGUUGUUUAUCACGAAUAUAUAUAAAGCAAAGACUCUCUAAUCCUGUACUUUGCAUCUGGCAUUUCAAAAUGAAGUCUAAAAGUGUACAAUUUCUACUCCUAUGCAAGUUUCCUCUUCUUAGAUUUGACCUCCUAUUCUGGACUAUGAAGAUGGAGACUCCAUAGAGAGAAAUUGAAGUAACUGAGAAAACAACACAUUGCCAGUUGCUGUGUUCUAAACUAGACUCUCAUUUAAGGCUGUAUAUGCAUACUGGAUAGUGGGAUUUGAAUGUGUAUCAGUCAAAAGUGGAAUGUUCUGCAAUGAUACCUAUAUUUUUACUACUACAGAAGAUGUUGAAUGGUAUAAUGUGCACAGUGCUGGAAUAGAGAGCAGGAGUCCUAGGGAGGAGUUUUAGCUUUGCCAUUACCUAGAUGUAUAAUCUUGUAAAAGUGAUUGGACCUUUGCAGGCCUCAGUUCCCUCAUUUAUAAAAUGAAGAACACAGACUAGAUUAUUUCUAAUGUCUUUCCCAACUCCAAGAAUUAAGGCCCCCUCAUUCCACUGUGAUUCUUUUUCUUAAUUAAUUAAUUUAUUUUUAUUUUAUUAUAAGUACCGGGAUACAUGUGCAGAAUAUGCAGGUUUCUUACAUAGGUAUACAUGCACCAAGGUGGUUUGCUGCACCUAUCAACCCGUCAUCUAGGUUUUAAACCCCACAUGCAUUAGGUAUUUGUCCUAAUGUUCUCUCUCCCCUGGCCCCCCAUCCACCAACAGGCCCGAGUGUGUGAUGUUCUACUCCCUGUCUCCCUGUGUUCUCAUUGUUCAACUCCCACUUAUGAGUGAGAACAUGUGGUGUUUGGUUUUCUGUUCCUGUGUUAGUUUGCUGAGCUUCCAGCUUCACACGUGUCCCUGCAAAAGACAUGAUCCUAUUCUUUUUUCUGGCUGCAUAGUAUUCCAUGGUGUAUAAGUGCCACAUUUGCUUUAUCUAGUCGAUCAUUGAUGGGCAUUUGGGUUAGUUCUAAGUGUUUGCUAUUGUGAAUAGUGCUGCAAUAAACAUACAUGUGCAUGUGUCUUUAUAGUA